rnacentral:misc_RNA from 1 species
CAAUGACACUUCAGCUCCCGCCGCAGAUGUUCCGCCAAAGGGUGGGAACCCUUCAGAAAAGCCUCUCUUGCGAUUUCUGGGGCAUGUUGGUGGUACUUACUAUUCGGGGGGCUACACCAUACAAGAUCUGCUGACAUCGCACGAUCCCCUCCGCGGCCCGAAUGCGCAGGUCAACGGCUUCCUCCUCCACGGCCUCAACAUCCUCGAACGCGGCUACAUCUUCACCUGCAUGAUCAUCGCCGCGAUCUCGGCGUUCCUCAUCGAUCGCCGCUUUUUCCACGCCGCGGGUUGGGCCAUCGCCGCUGCGGUGCUCACCUUCCUGGGCCUGAUGCAC